AUUGCCAUCUACACGAAUGCUCUGGACUCCAUAAGCUUGCCCUCUAACAGCAAUCCCAUCACCUGCACCAUGUGCAAAACAAAAUACAUGAUAGGAUACAUAUAUACAUUAUUGAUGGAUUCAUGGAUUGUUAAAAUAAAAUAAUGCGCAAUAAAUAAAAAAGGGAGGAAGAAUACUUCGAAACUGGUCUGAAGUGGGUGUACUAAUUGCCCAUCCAUUAUUCCGACAGAUAAAGAUUACUGGAGCCUCUGUAACUGCCGCGAAAUUUAAAGCAGCAUGAAAAUCUCCCUAUCAUUAUUUUGUUUUGUUAGAAACAAAGCACCAAAAUCUAAAAUUCAAUGAGAUUGAGCUGCUACGAAAUGAACUCAUUUAUGCAUCCUGCUCCCCAACAACACAUACACAAAGGAGGAGAAAGGUUCUUUGACCUCUGAUAAGUUAUGUAAAACCAGUCCCACCUGGGCUUAGCUGAAGUUCU
rnacentral:lncRNA from 1 species